AGAGGAUGCUCGUCAGCAUCACCAGCAUCAUCAUCAUAAUCGAUAUAAUCGAUGAUGGGUUGGAGACUUUGCCACCUGUUGUAUUUGUUUAAGGCGGCACGGGUCUAGAAACAGCAGAGCGCGUUUUUUUAAAGAUAAAAACGAUAAUAUUUUUUUUUUGUUAAACCUAAGGGGCAAAUAUAGAGAGCAAAGGAGACAUUGUGGAUUACAGACAUGCUGCAGAAUGCAAUGCAUUGGUACAUUUCAUGCGUUUCAUGUGCAAUGCACGAGGACAAUGAUGGCGAUUUCAUUUUGCAUGGAGUCAUUCUAGAGAUCAAGACCUAUAUUUCGGACCCAAAGUCCAUUCUGAGGGUUGGUUUCUGUCUUUGGUUAUCUAGCUGUAUGAGUUAUAACACAUUUCAUAAAGCUAGAUAACCGAAAGUAGAAAUAAUCCUUAAAAAACUGUUCAAGUUGUCAAUCAACGGCAAACGGCGGAGAGAGCGCCAAAAUUUACCUCAGAGUGAUUUUUCAUCCGCAAAAAGGCACAGUAAAGUAACAACAAGGGCAUCUGUGUGAAAGAGCCAGACAUGCUUGGAGGAAAUGUGGCAGCUUACAUUUGCCACAUCUUUUCUUCUCCGCCUACCCCAAAACCCAGAGUACCAUCUGUGCCCCUGUGGGGCUCGGGAGAACCCAUGCCAGUGCCAGCGGGGACGCAAUCCUUGUCAGCAUCCUGGCGCCAAGAUGGACUGCUUAGAAAGAAAGGGAGGCCAUCUUGACAGAGAUCUUUCAUGGGAAGCUAAGAUGGCUGGGCUGACACAUGAGAAUGGACAGUGGACUGACCUAUGCGGAGACACACUUACCUCGUGGGAUAAAGUACACGAAAAUCAGCUGUAAUUAGAUGGCAUGAAAGAACAAUGGAAAAAUCCCAGGCACCUGAAUCUAACCUGAAACACAUUAAAUUGUGUGUGUGUGUGUGUGUGUGUGUGUGUGUGUGUGUGUGUGUGUGUGUGUGUGUGUGUGUGUGUGUGUGUGUGUGUGUACCUGGUAAUUAUUACGUUGUGGGGACCAAUUGUCCCCACAUAGAUAGGAAUACCAGUGUUUUUGUGACCUUGUGGGGACAUUUAAAUUGUAUUAUUUUUCUGUUUAGAUCAUGUGAACUGUGUUUUUACAGUAGACAUCAAUUUUUUUUAACACAUUGCUGUACAGGGGGUUAGAUGUAAAACGUCUUGUACUGUAUUUAUUUCACUAUAGUGUUUUAUUUAUUAGCUGUGGAUUAUUUUGCUAUUUGUUCAAAUGCAAUGUAUAUUUUUUGUUUCGUUUUUUCCCACAAUUUUUACCCCUUUACAAUUUAUGUAUAUAUAAAUAAAAAUUAUAUCUUAUAUUGUAUUGUACUGGUAAUUUUAAUUCUGUGAGUUAUAAAUAAAAAUAAUUAAAA